AUUGAACGCUGGCGGCAGGCCUAACACAUGCAAGUCGAGCGGGGUUUUCGGACCUAGCGGCGGACGGGUGAGUAAUGCGUAGGAAGCUGCCCGAUAGAGGGGGAUACCAGUUGGAAACGACUGUUAAUACCGCAUAAUGUCUACGGACCAAAGUGUGGGACCUUCGGGCCACAUGCUAUCGGAUGCGCCUACGUGGGAUUAGCUAGUUGGUGAGGUAAUGGCUCACCAAGGCGACGAUCUCUAGCUGGUUUGAGAGGAUGAUCAGCCACACUGGAACUUAGAAACGGUCCAGACUCCUACGGGAGGCAGCAGUGGGGAAUAUUGGACAAUGGGCGCAAGCCUGAUCCAGCCAUGCCGCGUGUGUGAAGAGGGCCUUCGGGUUGUAAAGCACUUUCAGCGAGGAGGAAGGGUGGUGUGUUAAUAGCACAUCAUUUUGACGUUACUCGCAGAAGAAGCACCGGCUAACUCUGUGCCAGCCGCCGCAGUAACAC
rnacentral:rRNA from 1 species